AGUCGCAAGACCAAAGAGGGGGCCUUCGGGCCUCUUGCCAUCGGAUGUGCCCAGAUGGGAUUAGCUAGUAGGUGGGGUAACGGCUCACCUAGGCGACGAUCCCUAGCUGGUCUGAGAGGAUGACCAGCCACACUGGAACUGAGACACGGUCCAGACUCCUACGGGAGGCAGCAUG
rnacentral:rRNA from 1 species